rnacentral:rRNA from 1 species
GCAUAUCAAUAAGCGGAGGAAAAGAAACCAACAGGGAUUGCCUCAGUAACGGCGAGUGAAGCGGCAACAGCUCAAAUUUGAAAGCUGCCAACAGGCCGCGUUGUAAUUUGUAGAAGCUGCUUUGGGUGUCGGCCCGGUCUAAGUUCCUUGGAACAGGACGUCAUAGAGGGUGAGAAUCCCGUAUGUGAUCGGUGCCGGUGCCCGUGUAAAGCGCUUUCGACGAGUCGAGUUGUUUGGGAAUGCAGCUCAAAAUGGGUGGUAAAUUUCAUCUAAAGCUAAAUAUUGGCCAGAGACCGAUAGCGCACAAGUAGAGUGAUCGAAAGAUGAAAAGCACUUUGGAAAGAGAGUUAAACAGUACGUGAAAUUGUUGAAAGGGAAGCGCUUGCAACCAGACUUGCGGGCGGUCGAUCAUCCGAGGUUCUCCCCGGUGCACUCGAUCGUUCUCAGGCCAGCAUCGGUUUCCGGGGUGGGAUAAAGGCGGUGGGAAUGUGGCUCUUCGGAGUGUUAUAGCCCACCGUGCAAUGCCGCCACUGGGGACCGAGGACCGCGCUUCGGCUAGGAUGCUGGCGUAAUGGUUGUAAGCGACCCGUCUUGAAACACGGACCAAGGAGUCUAACAUCUAUGCGAGUGUUUGGGUGUCAAACCCAUACGCGGAAUGAAAGUGAACGGAGGUAAGAGCCCUUUAGGGUGCAUUAUCGACCGAUCCUGAUGUCUUCGGAUGGAUUUGAGUAAGAGCAUAGCUGUUGGGACCCGAAAGAUGGUGAACUAUGCGUGAAUAGGGUGAAGCCAGAGGAAACUCUGGUGGAGGCUCGCAGCGGUUCUGACGUGCAAAUCGAUCGUCGAAUUUGCGUAUAGGGGCGAAAGACUAAUCGAACCAUCUAGUAGCUGGUUCCUGCCGA